GGCUCUGAGGUGUGUACACAUCGCCCCGUCGCUCUCAUUAUNGAUUAUUCUAUUUUAUUACUUUGAUUGAGCUUCCGUUUAGAGGAGAUAAGUCGUAACAUAGUAGAUGUACUGGAAAGUGUAUCUAGGACGAGUUUCA
rnacentral:rRNA from 1 species